CUACGUGCCAGCAGCCGCGGUAAUACGGAGGGUGCGAGCGUUAACCGGAAUAACUGGGCGUAAAGGGCACGCAGGCGGUGACUUAAGUGAGGUGUGAAAGCCCCGGGCUUAACCUGGGAAUUGCAUUUCAUACUGGGUCGCUAGAGUACUUUAGGGAGGGGUAGAAUUCCACGUGUAGCGGUGAAAUGCGUAGAGAUGUGGAGGAAUACCGAAGGCGAAGGCAGCCCCUUGGGAAUGUACUGACGCUCAUGUGCGAAAGCGUGGGGAGCAAACAGGAUUAGAUACCCUGGUAGUCCUAGCUGUAAACGAUGAUUACUGGGUGUGGGCAUGAAGAGUGUCCGUGCCGAAGCUAAUGCGAUAAGUAAUCCGCCUGGGGAGUACGGCCGCAAGGCUGAAACUCAAAUGAAUUGACGGGGGCCCGCACAAGCGGUGGAGCAUGUGGUUUAAUUCGAUGCAACGCGAAGAACCUUACCUACUCUUGACAUCCAGAGAACAUUC
rnacentral:rRNA from 1 species